rnacentral:antisense_RNA from 1 species
UCUACGGGCGGGCCUUGGCGGGGGUGCGCUUGCGCACGCCGGGUACCUGUAGCCGGUCUCUCAACCCUGUCUUGUGCCCGCCCACCCC